rnacentral:rRNA from 1 species
AGGAUGAACGCUGGCGGCGUGCCUAACACAUGCAAGUCGAACGUCCUGUCUCGCAAGAGGCAGGGAGUGGCGGACGGGUGAGUACCACGUGGGUCAUCUACCGUGAGGUGAGGAAUACCGGCGAGAAAUCGCCGACAAGACCGCAUAGGCUCGAUGCAAGUCGAGCAAAGCUCUCUCGAGAGAGGGAGCGCCACACGAGGAGCCUGCGCCCGAUUAGCUAGCUGGUGGAGUAAUGGUUCACCAGGGCGACGAUCGGUAGCUGGUCUGAGAGGACGAUCAGCCACACUGGGAUUGAGAACGGCCCAGACUCCUACGGGGGGCAGCAGUGAGGAAUUUUCGUCAAUGGGGGCAACCCUGAACGAGCAACGCCGCGUGCAGGAAGAAGGUUUUCGGAUCGUAAACUGCUUUUCUCGGGGAAGAGAAUGGACGGUACCCGAGGAAUCGAGCCCCGGCUAACUACGUGCCAGCAGCCGC